rnacentral:rRNA from 1 species
GACGAACGCUGGCGGCGUGCUUAACACAUGCAAGUCGAACGGAAAGGCCCUGCUUUUGUGGGGUGCUCGAGUGGCGAACGGGUGAGUAACACGUGAGUAACCUGCCCUUGACUUUGGGAUAACUUCAGGAAACUGGGGCUCAUAUCGGAUAGGAGCUCCUGCUGCAUGGUGGGGGUUGGAAAGUUUCGGCGGUUGGGGAUGGACGCGCGGCUUAUCAGCUUGUUGGUGGGGUAGUGGCUUACCAAGGCUUUGACGGGUAGCCGGCCUGAGAGGGUGACCGGCCACAUUGGGACUGAGAUACGGGCCAGACGCCUACGGGAGGCAGCAGUGGGGAAUAUUGCACAAUGGGCGGAAGCCUGAUGCAGCAACGCCGCGUGCGGGAUGACGGCCUUCGGGUUGUAAACCGCGUUCGCCUGGGACGAAGCGUGAGUGACGGUAAUGGGUAAAGAAGCACCGGCUAACUACGUG